GGGUUGUGAGGUUAAGCGAAUAAGCGUACACGGUGGAUGCCUAGGCAAUCAGAGGCGAUGAAGGACGUGCUAAUCUGCGAAAAGCGUCGGUAAGGUGAUAUGAACCGUUAUACCCGACGAUAUCCGAAUGGGGAAACCCAGUAUCCAAUGGAUACUAUCAUUAACUGAAUCCAUAGGUUAAUGAGGCGAACCGGGAGAACUGAAACAUCUCAGUACCCCGAGGAAAAGAAAUCAACCGAGAUUCCCCUAGUAGCGGCGAGCGAACGGGGAGCAGCCCAGAGUCUUAAUCAAUAGCGGUGUCAGGAGAACGGUCUGGAAAGUCCGGCAGUAAAGGGUGAUAGCCCCGUAUCUGAAGAUGCUGUUGUUGUGAACUCGACGAGUAGGGCGGGACACGUGUUAUCCUGUCUGAAUAUGGGGGGACCAUCCUCCAAGGCUAAAUACUCCUGAUUGACCGAUAGUGAACCAGUACCGUGAGGGAAAGGCGAAAAGAACCCCGGCGAGGGGAGUGAAAAAGAACCUGAAACCGUGUACGUACAAGCAGUAGGAGCCUCUUUAUGGGGUGACUGCGUACCUUUUGUAUAAUGGGUCAGCGACUUAUAUUCUGUAGCAAGGUUAACCGCAUAGGGGAGCCGUAGGGAAACCGAGUCUUAACUGGGCGAAUGAGUUGCAGGGUAUAGACCCGAAACCCGGUGAUCUAUCCAUGGGCAGGUUGAAGGUUGGGUAACACUAACUGGAGGACCGAACCGACUAAUGUUGAAAAAUUAGCGGAUGACUUGUGGAUGGGGGUGAAAGGCCAAUCAAACCGGGAGAUAGCUGGUUCUCCCCGAAAGCUAUUUAGGUAGCGCCUCGUGAACUCAUCUUCGGGGGUAGAGCACUGUUUCGACUAGGGGGUCAUCCCGACUUACCAACUCGAUGCAAACUGCGAAUACCGAAGAAUGUUAUCACGGGAGACACACGGCGGGUGCUAACGUCCGUCGUGAAGAGGAAAACAACCCAGACCGCCAGCUAAGGUCCCAAAGUCAUGGUUAAGUGGGAAACGAAGUGGGAAGGCUCAGACAGCCAGGAUGUUGGCUUAGAAGCAGCCAUCAUUUAAAGAAAGCGUAAUAGCUCACUGGUCGAGUCGGCCCGCGCGGAAGAUGUAACGGGGCUAAACCAUGUACCGAAGCUGCGGCAGCGACACAAAGUGUUGUUGGGUAGGGGAGCGUUCUGUAAGCCUGCGAAGGUGUGCUGUGAGGUAUGCUGGAGGUAUCAGAAGUGCGAAUGCUGACAUAAGUAACGAUAAUGCGGGUGAAAAACCCGCACGCCGGAAGACCAAGGGUUCCUGUCCAACGUUAAUCGGGGCAGGGUGAGUCGACCCCUAAGGCGAGGCUGAAAAGCGUAGUCGAUGGGAAACGGGUUAAUAUUCCCGUACUGGUGGUAACUGCGAUGGGGGAACGGAGAAGGCUAGGUUGUCCGGGCGACGGUCGUCCCGGUUCAAGCAGGUAGGCAGAGUGAUUAGGCAAAUCCGGUCACUUAAUGCUGAGAUGUGAUGACGAACCACCAAGGUGGUGAAGCAAUUGAUGCCCCGCUUCCAGGAAAAGCCUCUAAGCUUCAGGUUACCAACAAUCGUACCCCAAACCGACACAGGUGGUCAGGUAGAGAAUACUCAGGCGCUUGAGAGAACUCGGGUGAAGGAACUAGGCAAAAUGGUGCCGUAACUUCGGGAGAAGGCACGCUGGCGGUAGGUAAAGUCCCUCGCGGACGGCGCUGAAGCCAGUCGAAGAUACCAGCUGGCUGCAACUGUUUAUUAAAAACACAGCACUGUGCAAACACGAAAGUGGACGUAUACGGUGUGACGCCUGCCCGGUGCUGGAAGGUUAAUUGAUGGGGUUAGCGCAAGCGAAGCUCCUGAUCGAAGCCCCAGUAAACGGCGGCCGUAACUAUAACGGUCCUAAGGUAGCGAAAUUCCUUGUCGGGUAAGUUCCGACCUGCACGAAUGGCGUAAUGAUGGCCAGGCUGUCUCCACCCGAGACUCAGUGAAAUUGAACUCGCUGUGAAGAUGCAGUGUACCCGCGGCAAGACGGAAAGACCCCGUGAACCUUUACUAUAGCUUGACACUGAACAUUGAGCCUUGAUGUGUAGGAUAGGUGGGAGGCUUUGAAGUGUGGACGCCAGUCUGCAUGGAGCCAACCUUGAAAUACCACCCUUUAACGUUUGAUGUUCUAACCUAGGCCCAUAAACUGGGUCGGGGACCGUGUCUGGUGGGUAGUUUGACUGGGGCGGUCUCCUCCUAAAGAGUAACGGAGGAGCACGAAGGUUGGCUAAGCAUGGUCGGACAUCAUGCGGUUAGUGCAAAGGCAUAAGCCAGCUUGACUGCGAGAGUGACGGCUCGAGCAGGUACGAAAGUAGGUCUUAGUGAUCCGGUGGUUCUGAAUGGAAGGGCCAUCGCUCAACGGAUAAAAGGUACUCCGGGGAUAACAGGCUGAUACCGCCCAAGAGUUCAUAUCGACGGCGGUGUUUGGCACCUCGAUGUCGGCUCAUCACAUCCUGGGGCUGAAGUAGGUCCCAAGGGUAUGGCUGUUCGCCAUUUAAAGUGGUACGCGAGCUGGGUUUAGAACGUCGUGAGACAGUUCGGUCCCUAUCUGCCGUGGGCGUUGGAAGAUUGAGAGGGGUUGCUCCUAGUACGAGAGGACCGGAGUGAACGCACCACUGGUGUUCGGGUUGUCAUGCCAAUGGCAUUGCCCGGUAGCUAAGUGCGGAAGAGAUAACCGCUGAAAGCAUCUAAGCGGGAAACUUGCCUCGAGAUGAGUCUUCCCUGUCGCUUUAAGCGACCUAAAGGAACGUUUAAGACUAAGACGUUGAUAGGCUGGGUGUGUAAGCGUAGCGAUACGUUGAGCUAACCAGUACUAAUGAACCGUGAGGCUUAACCUGACAACACCGAAGGUGUUU
rnacentral:rRNA from 1 species